rnacentral:lncRNA from 1 species
UGGUAGUAGAGCAGGUAAAAUAGUGUGCGUUGUGGGUGGUAUUUUGUGGAGUACUCGCACUCCGAUGGCAAUGCGAAAAUCCUUAGUAUAUUAAAAGUACUGACUGCUGAUCGAUUAUUCUAAUCGAUUUAUAUUUAUAUUGUACUGUUGACAUAGGAAUGAGGGGACAGCAAGAAAUGCAAAUUGAUUUAUCAGUCAAUAAUGAAAAGCAAGUGGAAUCUCCGCCAUUUACACCGUCCAUCCCCUCGAGCCAGUCAUGUGCCUCGUCGCAGUUGCCGAGACGCUGUUCUAAUGUAUAUCAUUCUUUCCCCUGGAGAUGAAAUUAAUUA